UACGUAUGGAGCAAGCGUUAUCCGGAUUUACUGGGUGUAAAGGGAGUGUAGGUGGCCAGGUAAGUCAGAAGUGAAAGCCCGGGGCUCAACCCCGGGACUGCUUUUGAAACUGCAGGGCUAGAGUGCAGGAGGGGCAAGUGGAAUUCCUAGUGUAGCGGUGAAAUGCGUAGAUAUUAGGAGGAACACCAGUGGCGAAGGCGGCUUGCUGGACUGUAACUGACACUGAGGCUCGAAAGCGUGGGGAGCAAACAGG
rnacentral:rRNA from 1 species